AUUGAACGCUGGCGGCAGGCCUAACACAUGCAAGUCGAACGAGUGGCGGACGGGUGAGUAAUGUCUGGGAAACUGCCCGAUGGAGGGGUGUAACUAGUGGAAACGGUAGCUAAUACCGCAUACCAUCGGAUGUGCCCAGAUGGGAUUAGCUAGUAGGGGGGGUAACGGCUCACCUAGGCGACGAUCCCUAGAUGGUCUGAGAGGAUGACCAGCCACACUGUAACUGAGACACGGUCCAGACUCCUACGGGAGGCAGCAGUGGGGAAGAUUGCACAAUGGGCUCAAGCCUGAUGCAGCCAUGCCGCGUGUAUGAAGAAGGCCUUCGGGUUGUAAAGUACUUUCAGCGAGGAGGCGUUACUCGCAGAAGAAGCACCGGCUAACUCCGUGCCAGCAGCCGCGGUAAUAC
rnacentral:rRNA from 1 species